UGGAGGCAGCAGUGAGGAAUAUUGCACAAUGGGGGAAACCCUGAUGCAGCAACGCCGCGUGAGUGAUGAAGGCCUUCGGGUUGUAAAGCUCUGUCUUCAGGGACGAUAAUGACGGUACCUGAGGAGGAAGCCACGGCUAACUACGUGCCAGCAGCCGCGGUAAUACGUAGGUGGCAAGCGUUGUCCGGAUUUACUGGGCGUAAAGGGAGCGUAGGCGGAUACUUAAGUGGGAUGUGAAAUACCCGGGCUCAACUUGGGUGCUGCAUUCCAAACUGGGUGUCUAGAGUGCAGGAGAGGAAAGUGGAAUUCCUAGUGUAGCGGUGGAAUGCGUAGAGAUUAGGAAGAACACCAGUGGCGAAGGCGACUUUCUGGACUGUAACUGACGCUGAGGCUCGAAAGCGUGGGGAGCAAACAGGAUUAGAUACCCCGGUAGUCCG
rnacentral:rRNA from 1 species